rnacentral:lncRNA from 1 species
CUACGGAGUACACAAGCAAGAACCAGUUUUAGCCAUCGCCAUUAUCCCUCCUCAGCAACAUCCUCGUCGCCAACUCCUACAGUGCAACUGCCAUGCAAGUCUUCAAAGCGAGCCUUCGCCAAGCCCCUCUUAUCGGUUUCCCUGCACAAGACAUAUCUUGUCUGGCACUACGAUCCCCACUCAAACCCCCUCGCCCUGGGGAUUGGGGAAUCCAAGAACGAAACCGACUACGAGUCUGAGACCUGUCCUGCUACGCUACUCCAUACAGUGCUAGUAAGUGAGACUAUGCCCGCCCACCGACUAGCCUGGCCCGGAUCAUAUUUGUCAUAUCGUUCAAAUGUCAUGGCCCAACCAUUCUUCUAGCCGUCGGCGCUCUCGUCCAUGACUCUCAAUACUACAUAGUCCCAAUGCUGAACUUGAAACACACAUUCAAGCAUUGCAAUGGUACGUGCGUACGUCUAGAGCCCAAGUCUAGACCCAUCUAAU